GGCGCAGUUGGCUUCAAAGGGCUGGAGGCGGCAGUGCGGCGGGAGUGCUCAGUAGUCAGGGAAGAACGGUGUGCAGAGGGGGCGAGGAAGCUUCUGGACUGAGCAGGGAGUUCUUGGAUCUUAUCAAACAAAAAACAGAGUCCUAUAUGUAAGCAACUGCUGUAUCACACUUUAUGGAUGACAUUUUCUGCUGGCAGGACUUCUUUUUGAUGAAGGUAUGGAAAAUGUUCUCCGUCUUUCCUUCUGGGUUUUUUGGCUGCCUUCACCAGGCAUACCUUGGAAAUACUCAAGUUUGGUUUUGGACCAUCACAAUAAAGCAAAUUUGCCAUAAGAAAGCACUGGCUCUGGGAUCCAAACUGCAACACUCAUUAGUCUUCAUGCUUCAGCAAGUCUUACCUGCCCCUGUGAGGGAUGAGGAGACAAGAAGCCAAGACAAUCUACUUGCCCUCUAA
rnacentral:lncRNA from 1 species